rnacentral:rRNA from 1 species
UACAGAGGUCCCAAGCGUUGUUCGGAUUCACUGGGCGUAAAGGGUGCGUAGGUGGCCAGGUAAGUUUGGUGUGAAAGCUCGGAGCUCAACUCCGAAAUGGCAUUGAAUACUAUCUGGCCGGAGGGUCGGAGGGGAGACUGGAAUUCUCGGUGUAGCAGUGAAAUGCGUAGAUAUCGAGAGGAACACCAGUGGCGAAGGCGAGUCUCUGGACGACACCUGACACUGAGGCACGAAAGCUAGGGGAGCAAACAGG